rnacentral:lncRNA from 1 species
GAGCUGAGGUCACUCAUCCCAAUAAAGACAUCCAUGUGAGUGCAGGGGGGCCCUGCCCUCCAGGUCACUUCUGUCCAGUGGGCAUGGGGGUGCCCCUGCCAUGCCCUGUGGGCACCUUCUCAGAUCGGAUAUUUCUCUCCACGGCCUCUGAGUGCCUGUCCUGUCCCCCCGGCUAUUUCUGCGGUGCCUCUGGCCUGGCUGCGCCCUCCGGCCCCUGCUCCCCCGGCUACUUCUGUCUGGCAGGAGCCUCCUCCCCAACCCCGACAGGCCACUCAGGGCAGGGAGGCCCCUGUCCCCGAGGCCACUUUUGCCCCAGGGGAACCAGCCUCCCACAGCCCUGCCCUGCCGGCUCCUACAGCUACCUGACUGGCCAGGCCUCCUGCUUCCCUUGCCCCGCUGGCUACUACUGCCCCGAGAACAUCACCAACUACAGCGGGCACCCCUGUCCCGCUGGCUUCUACUGCCCCAGAGGCACCAAGUACGCCACCCAGUUCCCCUGCCCUCGGGGCUACUACAACCCAGACCCGCUGACCCAGAGCCUGGACAGCUGCCUGCCCUGUCACUACUGUGGGCAGGAGAACCUGACCCGGGCCUCUGGGCCUUGUGAGGCCGGAUGGUUCUGUGUGUCUGCAGCGUGGACUGCCCGCCCCUUCGACCUGGACAACUACACCAGCACCAAUUGCCUGUGCCCAGCCACGGCCACAGGGGGAAAGUGCCCUGCUGGCUCCUACUGCCCAGAGGGAAGCCCAGAGCCCAUGCCCUGCCCACCAGGCUCUUUCUGUGGCACCUCUGGUAAGGGCCUAUCGUGCUGUGGCUCAGGGUGUCGCUGGUGGGAGAACCAACAUGAGGGUGAACACGUAACCACCAUCCUUCCCUGUCCAGUGAGAAGCACUGCCUGCCUACCUCAGGGGGCUGUGCCUGGCAUGCCUCCUGGCAGGACUGUGCUUCAUAAACCAUCACUGUUGCUGUCACUCUGGGUGAAUGCAGGCCAGCCACCACAGAACAGCAAGGUGGGGAGGAGUGGCCAGGCCAGCAGGUCUGUGUGCACAGGGAGGCGUUCAGUGGCACCUCCCUCAUCCCUCUCUGUACUCCCCGUGUCUGAGUGCCUGCACUUCCCAAGCACCUGGUGCGUACAGCCCUGCUGGGCACUGAGCACCCAGGCAUGCACCAGGCUCCUCCUGCCCUGGGAGGCUCUCAGCUCUACAGCCCCUGAAGUCCAGACCUUAGGCUGA